rnacentral:rRNA from 1 species
UGUGCCCUACGGGAGGCAGCAGUAGGGAAUUUUCGUCAAUGGGCGCAAGCCUGAACGAGCAAUGCCGCGUGAACGAGGAAGGUCUUCGGAUCGUAAAGUUCUGUUGAAGGGGAAAAAGAGCGGAGAGAGGAAAUGGUCUCCGAUUGAUAUUACCCUUCGAGGAAGUCACGGCUAACUACGUGCCAGCAGCCGCGGUAAUACGUAGGUGGCGAGCGUUAUCCGGAAUGAUUGGGCGUAAAGGGUGCGUAGGCGGCCUGCUAAGUCUGGAUGGAAAGGUACCGGCUCAACCGAGACAGGCACUGGAA